AACUGAAGCCAGUUGGCUGCUGUGAGGACAAGGCAGAGCCAGUGCCUGGAGGAGCUGCCUACAAUGAACAUCAAGGAGAGGUGAAGGAGGGAAUUCGGCACUGCAACUGCCUGUGCUACACCGGAUGUUCACAGGAAACACCCUGUCAACACAUCACACAACCGGUGCUAUGUGGAGUAAGUGCCUGACUAGGGAAAUCCAAUUGCCCAGGAAUCCUGGAAGAGAUUAUGGACUGGCCAGAGGCAGGGAUUUGGAGCCUUGCCUGAGAAGGUGACUCAUGCCCAAAAUGCACCACCAUGUAAUGAGUUAUCAGAAGAUGCAAGAGGCUCUGCUGUAUUUACUGAUGGAACCUGCUGUGGUAGGAAACCAUUGGAAAGCUGCAGUGUGGAGUCCCACAGGACAAGUCAUUGAGACUGCUGAAGCACAAGCUGAAAAGAGAAGCAAUGGAGCAGCUUGGUGGGCACUGGCAUUCAGACAAAGUCAACCCAACACUGUGCAUUUUUGCACCCAUUGUGGGCUUACUGUCUGUGACUGCAGGCUAUGUUUUUUAUUUUGGUUCUAUAUCUCUAAGGUGCUGUAUUUGUGAAGACUGUAACAUCCUGCAUAGCUUCAUAUAAACCAGGGAGCAGUAGCAUACUUUGGAUAAGUGUGCACCGUCUGUGCAUGAG